AUGAGAAUGUGCUUGGAUAGGCAACACUGAAGCAGUAGCAGGGGCAGGAGCUGGAGCCUCAGCUUCUAUGGAGGUUGAAGGAGAUGAUGCUGGUGACUGAAACUCACUUGGUGGGUUUCCUGUUUUGGAGCCUGUCAACCCUACUCUUGUGGGCUCUGAAGUUUAAAGCACUCUGCUGCAUCAAAUGCGGACGCAUCAGCAAUCAAAAUGUGGGUUCUUUGCAAUGACAAAAAGAUGAAAAUGGAUACAGUAAGGACGAGCAUCAUGUGGCGAAUCUGAGAAGAAUAAGAGCCCAUGUUCUUCAACCACAAAUCAUCAGAGCAUCAAUAUCUAACUUUCCGCAUAGAAAUAGAGUCUCAUUUCUGCUGCAUUCUUUUUCAGAAAAGAAAAUAAUAAUAAGACAACAUUUAUUAUUGGACGGUGCAGGUACUGUGCAAGGAACAACAUGUAUUUCAAUGUUUAAUGUACUCCAAGGAAUCACUGAGCAUGGCAGUUGGAGUUGUACUGGGCCUUCUUUAAUCUUUUACUUCUCUGUUCAUGCACAGCUUGAAAUUUUUUUAUUUAUUUUUUUUAUGGUUGGAAUUGUAAUCUAAUCCCAAAAUUUAUAUGUUGUGAUCCGAAUUUAAGAUUAGAGUUUUGAGAGUUCUGAUAGAUAUAUCACAUUUAUU